rnacentral:lncRNA from 1 species
AGAAAAGCUCCUAGGUUAUAGGGAGGGUUUGAAGAGCAUCAAUAACAAUAACAUUAACAUGUGGGCUCUUCUGUAUCCCACUCCUGAACCUCCAAAUAAAGGCAAAACCUGUGCCUGUGCUCACACACAUAGUACUAUACCCACGCACACACAUAGUACUAUACCCACGCACACACAUAGUACUAUACCCACGCACACACAGAGUACUAUACCCACGCACACACAUAGUACUAUACCCACGCACACAUAUACUAUAUGCACACAUGUGCUAUUGUUUUUAUGUGAAAAUAGAUAUUUAAGAAGAUUGUGCUCGGUGUAGAAGCUUAGGAGUGGAAAAAUGUGUUAAUAGCAGCAGAGGCAACUCAACUGUGCAGGUGCUGUGGAUAAUUUUAUAGAAAGUAUGCUAACUGAUAAUUUUAUAUAAAGUAUGUCAACUGAUUUUCCAGGACUCCCUAGUCCUGGACUAUAGUGAGAGCUUCCAAAGAAAAAAGAAAAAA